CCCUUAGAUGUUCGGGGCCGCACGCGCGCUACACUGAAGGAAUCAGCAUGUUUUGUCCUAGCCAGAAAUGGCCGGGUAACCCUCUGAACCUCCUUCGUGCUAGGGAUUGGGGGUUGCAAUUCUUCCCCAUGAACGAGGAAUUCCCAGUAAGCGCGAGUCAUCAGCUCGCGUUGAUUACGUCCCUGCCCUUUGUACACACCGCCCGUCGCUACUACCGAUCGGAUGGUUUAGUGAGACCCUCGGACUGGUCCCGAGAGGGUGGGCAACUGCCCUUUCUGGUGUUGCCGGGAAGAAGGUCGAACUUGACUAUCUAGAGGAAGUAAAAGUCGUAACA
rnacentral:rRNA from 1 species